rnacentral:sRNA from 1 species
UGAGUCGGAUACAUCGUCACCAAACACGAU